GCAAGGUUCGGCAGCGCGGAGGAGUCAGGCUUGGCGGGGUGCGGUGAGUGCGCAAAGCAGCACAGCACGGACGAAAAUCUGUCGUGGAACUAUCGGAGCGGGGCAGCUGUGGUGCCUCAGCCAGACAAGCCUUUCGAGUGGUGGGCAGCCAACCGCUGAGCAUCCUGAGGUGACGGACCACGACCACUGACCAAGACUGAUUUUAUGUGCCCAAAAGCGUCACUUUGAGGAGGCUGGAGUGGGGGAAAAGACACCGGGGGACCAACAGUUCGGUUGGCGUUUGGAUCUGCACGUCACGCAUGAGGAAAGGUCCACAAAGGUCUGGAAUUCUGCUUAAUGCAGCAUCCCACGUAGAAAACAUUUCUCCCAUCCAAACCAACAACUGUACAUCUUUAAUACAGUCCAUAUGACUAAUAUAG